AUUGAACGCUGGCGGCAGGCCUAACACAUGCAAGUCGAGCGGAUGAGGGGUGCUUGCAUCCCGAUUCAGCGGCGGACGGGUGAGUAAUGCCUAGGAAUCUGCCCGAUAGUGGGGGACAACGUUUCGAAAGGAACGCUAAUACCGCAUACGUCCUACGGGAGAAAGUGGGGGCUCUUCGGACCUCCCGCUAUCGGAUGAGCCUAGGUCGGAUUAGCUAGUUGGUGGGGGAAAGGCGCACCAAGGCGAAGGUCCGUAACUGGUCUGAGAGGAUGGUCAGUCACACUGGAACUGCGACGCGGUCCAGACUCCUACGGGAGGCAGCAGUGGGGAAUAUGGGACAAUGGGCGAAAGCCUGAUCCAGCCAUGCCGCGUGUGUGAAGAAGGUCUUCGGAUUGUAAAGCACUUUAAGUCGGGAGGAAGGGUUGUAGGUUAAUACCUUGCAGCCUUGACGUUACCGACAGAAUAAGCACCGGCUAACUUCGUGCCAGCCGCCGCCGUAAGAC
rnacentral:rRNA from 1 species